rnacentral:rRNA from 1 species
UACGAAGGGGGCUAGCGUUGCUCGGAAUGACUGGGCGUAAAGGGCGCGUAGGCGGCUCAUACAGUCAGGCGUGAAAUUCCUGGGCUCAACCUGGGGACUGCGCUUGAGACGUGUGGGCUUGAGUGGGGAAGAGGGUCGUGGAAUUCCCAGUGUAGAGGUGAAAUUCGUAGAUAUUGGGAAGAACACCGGUGGCGAAGGCGGCGACCUGGUCCUUGACUGACGCUGAGGCGCGAAAGCGUGGGUAGCGAACAGG